GAUGAACGCUGGCGGCGUGCCUAAUACAUGCAAGUCGAACGCACAGCGAAAGGUGCUUGCACCUUUCAAGUGAGUGGCGAACGGGUGAGUAACACGUGGCCAACCUGCCUCAAGGCUGGGGAUAACAUUUGUAAACAGAUGCUAAUACCGAAUAAAACUCAGUGUCGCAUGACACAAAGUUAAAAGGCGCUUUAGCGUCACCUAGAGAUGGAUCCGCGGUGCAUUAGUUCGUUGGUGGGGUAAAGGCCUACCAAGACAAUGAUGCAUAGCCGAGAUGGGAGACUGAUCGGCCUUAUUGGGACUGAGACACGGCGCAAACUCCUACGGAAGGCUGCAGUAGGGAAUCUUAAACAAUGGGCGAAAGCCUGAUGGAGCGAAGCCGCGUGUGUGAUGAAGGCUUACGGGUCGUAAAGCACUGUUGUAUGGGAAGAACAGCGAGAAGAGGGAAUUAUUUUAGUUUGACGGUACCAUACCAGAAAGGGACGGCUAAAUACGUGCCAGCCGCCGCUGUAA
rnacentral:rRNA from 1 species